GUGGGAGUAACCUAGCCGAAAGGACAGACAAUACCGCAUAGUCUUCGAUGACGGCAUCAGAUUUGAAGUAAAGAUUUAUCGGUAAUGGAUGGGGAUGCGUCUGAUUAGCUUGUUGGCGGGGUAACGGCCCACCAAGGCGACGAUCAGUAGGGGUUCUGAGAGGAAGGUCCCCCACAUUGGAACUGAGACACGGUCCAAACUCCUACGGGAGGCAGCAGCA
rnacentral:rRNA from 1 species